rnacentral:lncRNA from 10 species
GCUGGAUUCUGGGAAGUGAACUUAUGGAAUCAAAGGUUAUGCAAACAUGGAUCUUUCUCAGUGGAGCAGUAUAUAAAACAGAUGCAGACUGAAGGAUGUUAGAAGCACAAAGAAGGUCAUGUGCACGACAUUCAGCUGAGUACAAAAUUCAACAUCUGGAAGAGGCUCCAGAUUGUUCUACUCCUGAUGUCAGGAGGAAGCUGAUUUACCUUUGGAAUGAGAUAACCUCUGGGAUCCCUGAACAGUUAAAGGGCAGACGGAAAUAAGGCUUGGCAAUGAAGAUGGACAAGGAACAUAUGCCAGUGCACAUCUAUUAUAAGCCAUUUAUCCCAGACUGUGAUGCAAGUGUGCUUAAGUCUGAAAUGCAAGUGACUCGUACUUACAGGCAAAAUACAUUCCAGCUGAGGAAAAAAGGAUUUUUGUUGCUGAUUUAAUGGAGUGACAGCCUUUCAGAAGUCUUUAAAUUCACCAUUUUCACUGAUGUCACCCUGUUACCAGAAAGGAGUCCUAAUUCUGACCCCAAGAGAAGGUCCUUAAAUCUCGUGCAAGAAAGAUUUCAGGAUUCAAAGAAUUAGCUGGACUAUGUCUCCAGGUGGAUGACUCUAUGGAAACUUUGAGCUGUAUGGAACAACCUCCUGAUCAUCCAUUUACCUUGCUUUGGUACAUUAGGACUUUAAUAGAAACUGCCUAAUGUGCAGGUAAGUCAGCAAGAAAUGAAAUAUGGGUCAUUAUUCAGUGGUACCAAUUGAGCAGAGCAGCCAAAUGUAAAUCAUUGAGAAAUGGGAAUGGUUCAUCCCGUUUUGCAAUUUGAAGUAAGUCUAAAGACUUCAUGUGGCAGAGAGGUCCCAGGGUUCACUUUGGAAAGCUGAGCAGCAAGUUUCUCUCUUCUAAGGGUCCAUCUGAUACUAACAAUUCUAAUCUCUGGCAAAUGGAAGCACAGACUGUAUUUUUCCCUAUGCUCUCUAAUUGUCUAACAAUAACCUUCAUGUACAUAUGUUAUACUAUGUGACUUUCAGUUUGUCACUUGGGUUUUCCAAACCUCACUUAAUUC